GAGUGGACUCCUACGGGAGGCAGCAGUGGGGAAUUUUGGACAAUGGGCGCAAGCCUGAUCCAGCCAUGCCGCGUGUCUGAAGAAGGCCUUCGGGUUGUAAAGGACUUUUGUCAGGGAAGAAAAGGCUGUUGCUAAUAUCGACAGCUGAUGACGGUACCUGAAGAAUAAGCACCGGCUAACUACGUGCCAGCAGCCGCGGUAAUACGUAGGGUGCGAGCGUUAAUCGGAAUUACUGGGCGUAAAGCGAGCGCAGACGGUUACUUAAGCAGGAUGUGAAAUCCCCGGGCUCAACCUGGGAACUGCGUUCUGAACUGGGUGACUAGAGUGUGUCAGAGGGAGGUAGAAUUCCACGUGUAGCAGUGAAAUGCGUAGAGAUGUGGAGGAAUACCGAUGGCGAAGGCAGCCUCCUGGGAUAACACUGACGUUCAUGCUCGAAAGCGUGGGUAGCAAACAGGAUUAGAUACCCUUGUAGUCCAGAGAA
rnacentral:rRNA from 1 species